AAGCUCUGUUGUUGGGGACGAAGGGUUAGGGGUUAAUAGCCCCGAGCCUGACGGUACCCUUCGAGGAAGCCCCGGCUAACUACGUGCCAGCAGCCGCGGUAAUACGUAGGGGGCGAGCGUUGUCCGGAAUUAUUGGGCGUAAAGAGCGUGUAGGCGGUUCGGUAAGUCUGCCGUGAAAACCCAGGGCUCAACCCUGGGCGUGCGGUGGAUACUGCCGGGCUAGAGGGUGGUAGAGGCGAGUGGAAUUCCCGGUGUAGCGGUGAAAUGCGCAGAUAUCGGGAGGAACACCAGUAGCGAAGGCGGCUCGCUGGGCCAUACCUGACGCUGAGACGCGAAAGCGUGGGGAGCAAACAGGAUUAGAUACCCUGGUAGUCCACGCCGUAAACGAUGAACACUAGGUGUGGGCGGAGUCGAAUCUGUCUGUGCCGCAGCCAACGCGAUAAGUGUUCCGCCUGGGGAGUACGGCCGCAAGGCUAAAACUCAAAAGAAUUGACGGGGGCCCGCACAAGCAGCGGAGCAUGUUCUUUAAUUCGAUGCAACGCGAAGAACCUUACCUGGACUUGACAUGGUGCUGCAAGCGCACGGAAACGUGUGACCUUCGAGGGUGCACCACAGAUGCU
rnacentral:rRNA from 1 species